GAUGAACGCUGGCGGCGUGCCUAAUACAUGCAAGUCGAGCGAACAGAUGAGGAGCUUGCUCCUCUGACGUUAGCGGCGGACGGGUGAGUAACACGUGGAUAACCUACCUAUAAGACUGGGAUAACUUCGGGAAACCGGAGCUAAUACCGGAUAAUAUAUUGAACCGCAUGGUUCAAUAGUGAAAGACGGUUUUGCUGUCACUUAUAGAUGGAUCCGCGCCGCAUUAGCUAGUUGGUAAGGUAACGGCUUACCAAGGCAACGAUGCGUAGCCGACCUGAGAGGGUGAUCGGCCACACUGGAACUGAGACACGGUCCAGACUCCUACGGGAGGCAGCAGUAGGGAAUCUUCCGCAAUGGGCGAAAGCUUGACGGAGCAAUGCCGCGUGAGUGAUGAAGGUCUUCGGAUCGUAAAACUCUGUUAUUAGGGAAGAACAAAUGUGUAAGUAACUAUGCACGUCUUGACGGUACCUAAUCAGAAAGCCACGGCUAACUACGUG
rnacentral:rRNA from 1 species